UGCCUCAGCCUCCCAAAGUGCUGGAGCUCCAAGUGUGUCACUGACUUAAUUUUUUAACAAAGGACCUGAAUUUGCAUUAUACUCUGGGCCCACAUGUUCUGUAGUCAAUAGUGGCGCUAUACAGUGUGUCUCUUACUGGAAAUAUGACAGGAGUUUCUAUACCAGUGGUGGCAAACCUAUACCAUGCAUGCAGCAGCGGGCUGUUUGUAUUACUGAAUGCUCUAAAAGAUUCACCAUCAUGAUGAUCUAUACCAUCAGAAUCACCAAAAGAUUUGUGUUGAAAGUGUAAUACCACCCCACAUGUAUUAAAAAUCUCUGCACUAGGACUGGGGAUUUAGCUCAGUGGCACCAACCCUGCCUUGUAAGUGCAAGGUCCUGAGUUCGAUCCGCAGUACCAAAAAAAAGAAAAAAAAUCUCUGCACUGAAAAUAGAUACACACUAAAUUGGAGAAUUUUGAAACUGUUCCUAAUUAUAUCAUUAUUUGACAGGACAUCAUUUUGGCAUCUAGAAGUAACUCAUUUACCAUAUCUCCAACUUCUGUUCUCUAAAUUUGACAAGUACUCCAAUUUAGAAGUGGCUGACAAAUGUUUUAUAGUCCCCAGCAGCACACAAACAGCUGUGGAAAGGGAAAAAAUAGUAACUUUAGUGGGGACACCUGGCCAACUCUGGCUUAACCAAGCAAUCGUGGUUAACACCACAAUGAUCCUCGUGCCAACCGAGAGAAACUGCAUGAAAACAAUAAAGAACUCUGUACUACCUUUGCAUCUCAUGUAAAUCAAGUUUUCCAAACUAAACACUGCUAUUGAAAUUAUCCCAAAGUGCAUUCCAUAGAGUGCACCACAUCUGGGCUUCCUGUUUCUUCAUAUUCCAAACAAGAAAGAUUUCUAAGUUUCUUGUAGCCCAAAGAGGAGCUGCCUCCCCUUUUAUGACCUAGUCUUGUAAGUUAUAGGCCCUCAUUUCCACUGUUGAUUGAAAUGAUCAUAAAAAUCUGAAUCGUGCCGGGGAUUUAGCUCAGUGGUUCCGCCGCCUGCUGCGCAAGCCCAAGGACCUGAGUCCGAUCCCCGGUGCCAAAAAAUAAAAUAAAAAUGAAAAUCUCAAUCGUUUCAAAGAGGCCUAGACCUCAUCUCCAAGGAGAAAGAUCAAUGCCACACUGUGCGAAAAGUGUGUGUGAUGGGAUUAGACUGUUAAGAUCAUCUAGGAAAAUACAAACUGCCACACUGGAAUUCACCAUAGCUUCAAGAAUUUACUAUCAAAGUGAUUUUCCUUAAACACAAAUCUGACAUCCUGCCAGCCAAACUUUUAGUAAGUGCCCUCAUUAUUAGAAAAACUCAAAACAGUCCUGCCAUCUAGCUCAACAAAGUUGCAAUUCUUAGAACAUGCCUGUGAGACUUUAUUUUUAAACUGUAAAAUGGCCAUAAGGGUAGGAACCAUGAUGGAUAUAUACAAUAAUCUUUACAGCCUUAUUCAGGACUUCAUUGUUACAGUAUGAAAUUAUACUAAGCAAGGAGCAAGAGAAUCUAAUUUGGUUCCUAAAAUAGUACUAUUAGGCACCUUUGUCAUUGCUUAUUCUUUAGAUUUCUAAUCCCUACCCUAAAAACCAAGUCACUCUUCAGACCAAAUAGAAACCUUCAUGUUGUAAAAUGAAUAUUUGCUAUAUAUUGUCCUUUAUUUCACUUGGGUAACUUAAAAUCACCUCAGAAAGUUUCUAACAUAAUUCUCCUUACCUCCACAAUAGAAAGUAGGGGAAGAAGAGGAGGGAAGAGGAAACAAAAAAUAGUAACCACCUCUCACUCCUAACUUCUAGUUCUUUCAAGUAAUCUUUGAUUCAGAGUUACACUUUUAGAGAACAAGGAAUCUCAGCGACCAACCAGGACAAUGCCCAGUUUUAUAAGUGAAGACACUAUGGCAUAACAAAGCAAUUUAGGAUGAUAAACAGAAUGGAAACCAGAUGCUCCCAACACACAAAGUCUAACCCUGUAUUUUCGGUCCUGACAGUGCACUUCAUCAUCAUAUUUCAUUAAGUCUGGAGUGAGACUCAAGUAUGUGAAUAGAGUUGAGUUUGAAAACUGCAGAUCUGGUAGUUACAAAGCCUACUGAUUUUCUACAGCACCUCGGGCUCCUUCCCAGAUUUUCUGUCCUUAUCUCCACCUCCGUAGCCAAAGCCCUGUCACUUCAUCCCCGGCUUCCAGGCUCCCAGCUUUCUUCCGCCAGUACAAUUUUGCCAGAUAGGUUUUCCUAAACUACUCUUCCUGUCAUGGUCUCCUGUCCAAAAUCCUUACUGGUUUCAGAUUCUCAACCUGUAGGGCAUAGGAGUCAACUGAGCUCUUGUUUUAAAGCCAAUUCCUGGGAGGACUGUUAGCAAUUCUGAUUUAGCAGACUUGGGGCAAAUUCUGGAGAUCUGCGUAUUUAACAAGUAUGGGGGCCUGGAGAGGAGAUUGAGUCUCAUAGCCCAAAAAUGACACCAUGAGAAACACUGCCCCUGUGCAAUAAAUGGUAUCCAUGGAGCAGGCAUUCAAGACUACCAUCAGCCCAUCAUCUUCCACCUUGGUUUUCACUUGUCAACUCCUUGCUACGCCCCCACUAAGCCAAAUUCUACCUCUUUCCUUUACUCACGUUGUUCACUUUGCCUAGAACACUCCACUUCUUUACCACACUUAACACAUUCAUUCCUAAAUAAACACUAUGUAUCUUCCCUUCCCUUUCUUCCUUCUUUCCUUUUUUCUUUUCUUUUCCUUUCUUUUCUUUCUUCAUGCUAUGCAAGUGCUCUACCAUUGGGUUACAUCUCCAGCCCUUUUUAUUUUUUAUUUUUUAAAUUUUUAUUUAUUUAUUUUUUUUGGUACCGAGGUUCAAACUCAGGACCUUGCGCUUUCAAGGCAGGCGCUGGAACCACUGAGCUAAAUCCCCGGUCCCUCCAGCCCUUUUUAUUUUUCGAGAUGGAGUCUCAGUAAGUUGCCCAGGCUACCCUCGAGCUUGUGAUCAUCUUGCCUCGGCCUCUGAAGUAGCUGGGAUUACAGGCAUGAACUACCAUGACCAGCCCGAUUUACUUCUCUUUCUUUACAUGUCUCUAAUGAAGAAUGCUAUAUUACAUAAUCCAGCAAUUUAUACUCCCUUAUGAGACUUCUGAGUUAGGCCUGCCUUAACUGUGUAAACUUUUUUUUUUGGUACCGGGGAUUGAACUCAGAACCUUGCGCUUGCAAGGCAGGUGGUGGCACCACUGAGCUAACUCCCUGGACCCUGUGUAAAAAACUUAAUCCAUAUCAUACAUAUUUUGGUAUCACCAGACCAUCUAGCAUCAUAAGAACAAAAUAAUUGCUUAGUCAAAUAUUUAAUUGGGUUGAUUAGUGUUUAAAUCUGCUGUUUCUUUUCAUUUCACAGUCAAAAAAAUGAAGUAGAGCAUCUUAUCAAACUUUUUCACAGCUUCAUGGAAAAAAACUGGAUGAUUUGGUAACACUGGGCUAGAUCUUAACACAUUUUGAGAGAUCCUGCACAACGUAUUUGGAAUGACUGAUGAUAUGCUGAUGAACAGAGAUAAGUCACGGAGACUAAAAUGUGCCAAUUUAAGAUGGAAACUAUUGUUUUGUGCAUUUGACAGAGACACGGAUAACUACAUAAAUGUAGAAGAGUGGAUUGGAGGAUUAUCAGUGUUUCUUUGAGGAACUUUUGAAGAAAAGCUUAAGUCUCUGGUUCAUAUUACAACUAUCUAGGGAGCUGUUUAAAAAGGAGGCCUGGAACCCACUAUGGAAGGUUGAUUUAACUGACUGAAACCACUAUGUGAGUAUUUUUGUUUCUAGAAUGAUAUAAAAAUGUUCAUUAUUUAAAGCAAAAUUUACCAUCAAAACAAAUACGCAUGCUGGUCAAGUUCAGUUAAUUUAACAGAGAACUGCAGAAAAACCACAUAAAAAACUAAAAACUGAAAAAAUAGAAUUCUAUCAUUCCCACAAAUAAUUUUCCAUGUAGUUAUUAGUUCUAUAAUCAAAUCAUCUCUUAACAUUUUUUAAAAAA